AUUCAAAUUAUACACUGACCAACAGAUGCCUCAGUAAUAGCAUGUGCCACCUUGAAUGUUUGUUUGACAAAUUCCACCAAGCUCACUUUCAGUGGAAGCAGUGUGGACUUUCAACAAGCUUACUCCUGAUUGGCGACAGUAGUUGCCAUAGAAUUGAUACUCAGAUCAAUCACUGUCAACUGGCUCCAACGUGGUGACGUCUGUAUCACAGAGAAACGACGACAGAAUUGAAUUUGUUAUGAUGGAUCUGGAAGGAAAUGGGUGACGUCACACUCGCUCAAACCUUUUCUCUGAUCCAGUCAAACUGCUUUUUUACCAGUUUUAUUCCAGAAAUCAUUUUGGACAAGAGGAAAGACAUCUUCAGCUCAAAACCAAGUCUUCAUGACCUUUUUUAUAACUUUUCUUUUUAAAAUUCAGAAAUAAUAACCUGCACAUUCUUACAAAACUGUUAGACUUCAAUUGCUACCUUAAUUUAAUUGUAAAACUAACAACCAUUGUCAUUAAUAUGGCAAUAUUUUCCCCAAAUCUUAUCAGAAUGGGGAACUGGAGACAUAAAAAUUCUGCUUUUCCUAUUUUCAGCUGACUCUGCCACGAGGCUCGACAACUUCUUGCAUCAACUGUGAUCGCUGUGGCCGCCAAAACAUCCAAAUGUAAGGCGGGCUACAAAGAUUUCAGGCCAAAAGAGAACGCCUCACAUGUGAUGAAGUGUCUGUAUUGGUUGGAAAAACCAGCAGCCCUCCAGUGCUUCAGCCGUCCAACCAUCAACCGUUUCAGACAUCCAUCCUCCCACCACUUCAGCCCCACAGCCGUCCACCAGUGUCCCAACUCCUGACAUUUUACUAUCCUGGGGGGGGUCAUGGCCUCUACACUGGAUUCCAAAAAAGAGACAAAAAAAACCCCGACCUCAACCCCCACUCUUAGUCAGACAUGUUUAUUUUUUUUAUUUACAAUAAUAAAUAAUAUACUAUGUAC